CAAGACAAUGCACCUCAUUUUUCCUUUGUUAAAACCGGGUUUUUAGGCAACACAAAACAUAUAUUGGGCCACACAUGCACACUACCACAAACAUGUUAAUUAGAUUUGGGAGGCAUUAGGGAAAAAAGCCGUUGAUGCUCUAGCAAAGAUGAGUUUCACUCAAAAGAUUGUUGCUAAAGAUAUUUCCCUUGUUCACCUCCACUCUCCAACUAUCAGAGAGAAUCCAUUCAAUGAACAGCCCCCACCACCGGUCGAAACACAAGUUUCUGCAGAAAUUGAGGUCCAAGUAAUAAUUGAUUUGGUACAAGAAGUGCGAGUUGUUACUCCCGAGUGGACUUUGCCCUACCUUGUUUAUCUGUCAGGGCAAGAGCUCCCAGACAAUGAAGUCCAAGCGAGACGGAUUGUCCGUCGAUAAAAAUCAUGCAUACACCGUCAUGGGAGGGCAGCUUUACAAGGAAAAUGUCACCGGAGUACACCAGCGUUGCAAAUUUUUGUGAUUAGUCUGCCCAUGGCAUAUGGCUGCUUUUACAAAAUUGAUUGCAUCCUACGGUUAUCCUACGAUGCACCCCUGUAUCGCACAUCAUAUCAAGACGGCGAUUUACAUAUGCGUGUUGUUUUUAACCCUGUGUGAUGACCUUGACUGUACUAAUGUUAGUAUCCAACCAAGUACAAAAGGCUCGCCUGCUUGAAAAAGUGGUUGUACAAACGCAAGCAAACCUAAGAGAAACUCCAACGAGCUGACGCAAACGGAACAUCAACCCAACAUAUUGAUUCAAGCCAAAAAGGCGUCCG
rnacentral:lncRNA from 1 species